AGCAUAUCAAUAAGCGGAGGAAAAGAAACCAACAGGGAUUGCCCUAGUAACGGCGAGUGAAGCGGCAACAGCUCAAAUUUGAAAUCUGGCUCUUUCAGGGUCCGAGUUGUAAUUUGCAGAGGGUGCUUUGGUGUUGGCGGCGGUCUAAGUUCCUUGGAACAGGACAUCGCAGAGGGUGAGAAUCCCGUAUGUGGUCGCCUGCCUUCGCCGUGUAAAGCCCCUUCGACGAGUCGAGUUGUUUGGGAAUGCAGCUCUAAAUGGGAGGUAAAUUUCUUCUAAAGCUAAAUACCGGCCAGAGACCGAUAGCGCACAAGUAGAGUGAUCGAAAGAUGAAAAGCACUUUGGAAAGAGAGUCAAACAGCACGUGAAAUUGUUAAAAGGGAAGCGCUUGCAGCCAGACUUGCCUGUAGUUGCUCACCUGGGCUUUUGCCCGGGGCACUCUUCUGCAGGCAGGCCAGCAUCAGUUUGGGCGGUAGGAUAAAGGCCUCUGACACGUAUCUCCCUUCGGGGUUAACAUAUAGGGGAGGCGUAAUGCUACCAGCCCGGACUGAGGUCCGCGCAUCUGCUAGGAUGCUGGCGUAAUGGCUGUAAGCGGCCCGUCUUGAAACACGGACCAAGGAGUCUAACAUCUAUGCGAGUGUUUGGGUGUCAAGCCCGAGCGCGUAAUGAAAGUGAACGGAGGUGGGAACCCUUCGGGGUGCACCAUCGACCGAUCCUGAUGUCUUCGGAUGGAUUUGAGUAAGAGCAUAGCUGUUGGGACCCGAAAGAUGGUGAACUAUGCUUGAAUAGGGUGAAGCCAGAGGAAACUCUGGUGGAGGCUCGCAGCGGUUCUGACGUGCAAAUCGAUCGUCAAAUUUGGGCAUAGGGGCGAAAGACUAAUCGAACUAUCUAGUAGCUGGUUCCUGCCGA
rnacentral:rRNA from 1 species